ACCUUUAUAUCCAGGGCUACACACACGCUACAAUGGUCUGUACAAUGGGUAGCCAAGCCGCGAGGCGGAGCCAAUCCUGAAAGCAGGCCUCAGUUCAAGAUUGCAGUCUGGCAACUCGACUGCAUGAAGCCGGAGUUGCUAGUAACCGCAGGUCAGCAAUACUGCGGUGAAUACGUUCCCGGGUCUU
rnacentral:rRNA from 1 species